rnacentral:lncRNA from 1 species
CUGUUGGUCAUUGAAAUGGUAUAGCCCAUGUUCAGUGAUGAUGUUUUCAUUAUAUAUCAAUAAUAGAAUUGCCUCAAAAAGGUUCAUUUCAACAUAUCAGUAUAUGAUACAGAUCACUUCUGUCAUGUAGUAACAUUGUUGGAGUUAGCCAGUUAGUUGUAUUUACAAUUGCUAAGUCCUUCAAUGAUUAUACUUUUAUUCUGUCCCCCUUGUACACUUGAAAUCAGUUCUGAAGCCAAAAUAAAUAUGUAAAGCCUUCUAAGAAUGAAACAAGAUGUUUAUCCAGAUGACACCAGAGCAUUUCAUUCUCAUUCAAAAUUAAC